rnacentral:rRNA from 1 species
GAUGAACGCUGACAGCAUGCUUAACACAUGCAAGUCAACUGUGGCGGACGGGUGAGUAACGCGUAAAGAACUUGCCUCACAGGUAGGGAGAACAUUUGGAAACGAAUGCUAAUACAUAAUACUGUGGGAGAGCUUUGCGUCCCAUUAGCUAGUUGGAGAGGUAACGGCUAACCAAGGCGAUGAUGGGUAGCCGGCCUGGGAGGGUGAUCGGCCACAAGGGGAUGGGGACACGGGCCUUAGUCAUACGGGAAGCAGCGGUGGGGGAUAUUGGAAAAUGGACCAAAGUAUGAUCCAGCAAUUCUGUGUGCAAGAUGAAGUUUUCGGGAUGUAAAGUGCUUUCAGUUGGGAAGCGGUACCAACAGAAGAAGUGACGGCUAAAUACGUGCCAGCAGCCGCGGUAAUAC